GCCGAGCUAGCUCAGCUGGUAGAGCAACUGAUUUGUAAUCAGUAGGUCGUUGGUCCGAAUCCGACGCUCGGCA
rnacentral:tRNA from 1 species